AACAACCAUCUUCAGCUGAAAUGUAGUCCCUGAAGCUUCAUUCAAGUCUGGACCCAUUCUCAAGUUCUUUUUCCCAAACUGUGGCCCAGAU
rnacentral:lncRNA from 1 species